rnacentral:pre_miRNA from 1 species
AAUGAGAUAACUGGGUCAAAUGGUGGUUUCUUUCCUAAUUUUCUGAGGAAUCUUCAUAAUGCUUUCCAGAGUGGUUGCACCAAUUUUAGUUCCACCAGCAAU